CAGGGAGACAAUAAAUUGAUUGUGAUGUCUAAGUUAUUUAUUCUUAGGCCGCAAUCCUGUCACCUUAAGGUCGAUCGGUACCUCAGAUUUUUGAAUUAGUUUUAUAAUUGAUUCUUUGAUUUCAGUUCCUAAACUUGUCUAGGUCACACCCAACAAAGGUUUCUCCUGGGCCAUUAGCUCAGGUGGUUAGAGCGCACCCCUGAUAAGGGUGAGGUCCCUGGUUCAAGUCCAGGAUGGCCCAUUCGUUGUUGGGGGUAUAGCUCAGUUGGUAGAGCGCCUGCUUUGCAAGCAGGAUGUCAGCGGUUCGAGUCCGCUUACCUCCACUGAAAACUAUCCAGAUAACUAAAUUCUGGAGAAAAAUUGUAGAUGUGGCUUAGAAUUGUCUAAUUGAAUAGAACCUAGCUUCUUAUCAUCUUUUUAUAGUUGAUAAAAUGCUGGGCUCGCAUGGAUUAUUUCCAUGAGAAUUCAGUAGAACCUUGAAAACUGCAUAGAUUAGAAAGAAUAAAGCAUCUCAUGGAUGCAUAAUUCUGUUUUUAUAAUUUAGCCUUAAAACUAAAUUAUUUAAUUCUAGAAUUCAUGUUUAAUUCUUGAGUAAAAGCCGAGCACAAUUGAUUUUGUGAUUGUAUUUAAG
rnacentral:tRNA from 1 species